rnacentral:misc_RNA from 1 species
GAAAUGCGAUAAGUAAUGUGAAUUGCAGAAUUCAGUGAAUCAUCGAAUCUUUGAACGCACCUUGCGCUCCUUGGUAUUACUUGGAGCAUGCCUGUUUGAGUAUCAUGAAAUCUUCAAAGUAAAUCUUUUGUUAACUCAAUUGGUUUCUACUUUGGUAUUGGAGGUCUUUGCAGCUUCACACCUGCUCCUCUUUGUUCAUUAGCUGGAUCUCAGUGUUAUGCUUGGUUCCACUCGGCGUGAUAAGUUAUCUAUCGCUGAGGACACUGUAAAAGGUGGCCAAGGUAAAUGCAGAUGAACCGCUUCUAAUAGUCCAUUGACUUGUACAAUACUUUUAUGAUCUGAUCUCAAAUCAGGUAGGACUACCCGCUGAACUUAAGC